UGGGGUGUGGUGUAAUUGGCAACACAGCAGAUUCUGGUUCUGUUAUUCGGGGUUCAAGUCCUCGCACCCCAACCA
rnacentral:tRNA from 1 species